AGGUUAAGUUAGAAAGGGCGCACGGUGGAUGCCUUGGCACUAGGAGCCGAUGAAGGACGGUACUAACACCGAUAUGCUUCGGGGAGCUGUAAGUAAGCUUUGAUCCGGAGAUUUCCGAAUGGGGAAACCCUCCAUCCGUAAUGGGAUGGAACCCUUGCCUGAAUACAUAGGGCAUUGGAGGCAGACCCGGGGAACUGA
rnacentral:rRNA from 1 species